GAUGAACGCUAGCGGCAGGCUUAACACAUGCAAGUCGAGGGGCAGCAUGAGACGGAGAUUCGUCGAAGUCUUGAUGGCGACCGGCGCAAGGGUGCGUAACGCGUGAGCAACUUGCCCGUUUCAGGGGGAUAACCGGUGGAAACGCCGACUAAUACCCCAUGGUAUUGGAUUUAGGCAUCUUUAUCCAAUUAAAGAAAUUCGGAAACGGAUAGGCUCGCGUGACAUUAGCUAGAUGGCGGGGUAACGGCCCACCAUGGCGACGAUGUCUAGGGGUUCUGAGAGGAAGGUCCCCCACACUGGAACUGAGACACGGUCCAGACUCCUACGGGAGGCAGCAGUGAGGAAUAUUGGUCAAUGGUCUGACGACUGAACCAGCCAUGCCGCGUGAAGGUGACGGCCCUAUGGGUCUUAAACUUCUUUUGUAAGGGAGCAAUAAGGCGUACGUGUACGUCGAUGAGAGUACCUUACGAAUAAGCAUCGGCUAACUCCGUGCCAGCCGCCGCAGUAACAC
rnacentral:rRNA from 1 species